AAAAGCUAUUCUUCCAGUUAGUAUACGGUUUAGAAGGGAAUUGAACACGAAUUUUCAAAGAAUCAGAGAAAAUGAAUUUUGUUUUUCAUGUGACCGUUAGUUUGACAGUUUUGAUAGUGAUGUUUAGUACUGGGUUUUCUGCUGGAUCCAAUUAUUGCAAAGAUAAUUGGGUGCUAUUUUUUCAUGCACCAAGUGGAAAUGGCGAAGAAGUCUUAAAAGCAUGGAAAACCAGACACAACAACUGUGAUAUCGUAUCCGGAAUCUGCCCAUGCUUUAUCAGCAAUGGCUGUCUGCCGCCUAGAGUCAGAUUUGAAACAUUCAAAUCAAGUACAAAAGUUUUGAGAAGUCCUUACAUAGAUUACUGGGAUUGCUUGAAAAUCAGUAAGGUAAAUGCCUAAAACGUUCAAAUACAGAUCCUGAAUUCAAGUUGGACUGAUAUGCAUAAAAGUCAAACUUACAAUGUUUUUUCCAUAGACCAAAUUGAGAGAAACUUCUUCAUUAACAAAAACUACGGUGGAUGCCCCAACGAUAGUGGAUGGUUAGUUGUAAAGGAUGGUAAUUUAACUAAUCCGUGUGAUUGGGAAAAACACACCAGUUAUCCUCAAUUUUUGUACGGCCAACAUGGACAAGUCACCAAGUGGAACGAUAUGGAAUACGGGAAAGCAGACGUUCUUAACAUUUAUGUCCAAAUGGGAUACUAGCGGUGUUUUGUCCGGGUUUUUUCUGCAUCAUCAGCCAUGACAUGUGAUACUAGUGUUUGAUUUUUCACGUACAAAGGCAGAGCAGUCGAUGUAAAAGUGUAAAACAUUUAUGAAUGUUGAACAGAGGAUGGAUGUUGACAAUUUUUUUUGAAUUGCUGUACACAGAGUCUUGCUUUAAUUUUUAAAAGACAAUUAUAGAUGAAUAAAUCCUGUCAAAUCAU
rnacentral:misc_RNA from 1 species